UACUUUGAAAGUUUUCAAAUUUCAAAAUUUUCGAUUCAAAUUUAAAAUUCUCACAUCCUUCUCAUUUUACUCUUUCUCUCUAUUUCCAGUAGCCAUAAACCGAAAGUGAUAAUGGUGGUUAUCUUUCCUUUCCUCUCAUCUCUUUGCCAACAAAAAUGAUGUUCCUUCUUUCCUCUCAACAAAAACAUGAGGUAUACUUUCGAUUCAAAAAUGGUCGCUACUGUCCGAGCCACUUUCCAUUCUCGAGAUAAAAUUGCGCUCUUCCCUUCACAAUUGAUCGCUCUCUCGAGCUCCUCAGCUGCGCAACCAUGCAGAUGGCUCCCCUCCCGUUUCCGUGAGAUCUCCAUCCUCCGUAUGCUCUCUUGAGAUUCCCACAUCGUUAGGUCACUCCCCCGAUACCUCUCUCUUUGUUGAUUUGAUCUGUAAAUCGGCUUGUGAGUUCGAUCUUGUCCAGUUUCUUUGUUGUGAUCCUUCACAAACUAAGAUUUCUCGGGUAAAGUUUCUGAUUGUUCAGGCUGCCUCUUGCUAUUUCACGUAGGGGUUUCUUGUUUCAGUUUCAAGAGACUGAUGGUCAAGGACAGAACAAAGAAGGGAAGAUUAUGCUCUACCUCGUGUUUGGGUACAUGAAAACUGACGGGAAGAAAUUCAUUCGGAGUUAUCACUCCGCUGGGGAGGACAUUCCCCUAGGAUUAUUUCGACUCAAAAAUUGAAUAAAGAAGUAACUCACAAGGUGAACCAAGUAGCACCAUUUCACACGCCUUUUUCGUUAGUUAUCUUGUCUUGUGUUUUAUUGACUGCUGAUGAAGUGAACGAACGCCUUGUGAAGAAAAAGAAGAAGAUGAUGAGCUGGUUGGUUUUGUUCUAUUUAUUUUUUGCAUAAUUAAAUUGGAGGAACUUGCUGACAAAUGUGAAUUCGAUUCACAUGCAUUUGGCUUUGUUGGGUCUUGUAACCAUAGGAUUCGUAAAUUAUUAUGUAGUUAUUGUCGGCAUAAUUAUUUGGGUUGUCAAUUCUAUUCGUGUGUAAUUUAUAUUUGUCUGUAUUGUAAUUGGCAAACAACUUGUUGAUAUAAUCUUAAAACUAAUUUGCAUUCUCAUAAA